rnacentral:rRNA from 1 species
UGGCCAGACUCCUACGGGAGGCAGCAGUGAGGAAUAUUGGUCAAUGGGCGGAAGCCUGAACCAGCCAAGUCGCGUGAGGGAAGAAGGCCCUGCGGGUCGCAGACCUCUUUGGACGGGGAGCAAGGCCGCCGACGUGUCGGCGGAAGGAGAGUACCCGUAGAACAAGCAUCGGCUAACUCCGUGCCAGCAGCCGCGGUAAUACGGAGGAUCCAAGCGUUAUCCGGAUUUAUUGGGUUUAAAGGGUGCGUAGGCGGAUUGAUAAGUUAGAGGUGAAAUGUCCGAGCUUAACUCGGGAACUGCCUCUAAUACUGUUGAUCUAGAGAGUAGAUGCGGUAGGCGGAAUGUAUGGUGUAGCGGUGAAAUGCUUAGAGAUCAUACAGAACACCGAUUGCGAAGGCAGCUUACCAAUCUAUAUCUGACGUUGAGGCACGAAAGCGUGGGGAGCAAACAGGAUUAGAUACCCUCGUACA